ensembl:snRNA U4 U4 spliceosomal RNA
AUCCUUGUGCAGAGGCAAUAUCAUAGUCUAUGAAGUUCUACUGAGACGUGAUCAUUGCUGGUUGAAAACUUUAACACAAUACCCCGCCUGGCUGACUUGGAAUAUAGUCUGCUGGCCUUGGCCUUCCUUGGC